rnacentral:rRNA from 1 species
ACGCACGCUGGCGGCGUGCUUAACACAUGCAAGUCGAACGGAAAGGCCCUGCUUUUGUGGGGUGCUCGAGUGGCGAACGGGUGAGUAACACGUGAGUAACCUGCCCUUGACUUUGGGAUAACUUCAGGAAACUGGGGCUAAUACCGGAUAGGAGCUCCUGCUGCAUGGUGGGGGUUGGAAAGUUUCGGCGGUUGGGGAUGGACUCGCGGCUUAUCAGCUUGUUGGUGGGGUAGUGGCUUACCAAGGCUUUGACGGGUAGCCGGCCUGAGAGGGUGACCGGCCACAUUGGGACUGAGAUACGGCCCAGACUCCUACGGGAGGCAGCAGUGGGGAAUAUUGCACAAUGGGCGGAAGCCUAAUGCAGCAACGCCGCGUGCGGGAUGACGGCCUUCGGGUUGUAAACCGCUUUCGCCUGUGACGAAGCGUGAGUGACGGUAAUGGGUAAAGAAGCACCGGCUAACUACGUG